rnacentral:rRNA from 1 species
GACGAACGCUGGCGGCGUGCUUAACACAUGCAAGUCGAACGGAAAGGCCCUGCUUUUGUGGGGUGCUCGAGUGGCGAACGGGUGAGUAACACGUGAGUAACCUGCCCUUGACUUUGGGAUAACUUCAGGAAACUGGGGCUAAUACCGGAUAGGAGCUCCUGCUGCAUGGUGGGGGUUGGAAAGUUUCGGCGGUUGGGGAUGGACUCGCGGCUUAUCAGCUUGUUGGUGGGGUAGUGGCUUACCAAGGCUUUGACGGGUAGCCGGCCUGAGAGGGUGACCGGCCACAUUGGGACUGAGAUACGGCCCAGACUCCUACGGGAGGCAGCAGUGGGGAAUAUUGCACAAUGGGCGGAAGCCUGAUGCAGCAACGCCGCGUGCGGGAUGACGGCCUUCGGGUUGUAAACCGCUUUCGCCUGUGACGAAGCGUGAGUGACGGUAAUAGAUAAAGAAGCACCGGCUAACUACGUG